GCUGCGGAGAGAUUUCUCAAGUUGAGCUUCAGAGGAAGAAGAAGAAGCGGCUGCAAAUCACAACAUGACGUUUAAGCGAAGGAAUGGUGGUCGUAACAAACAUGGCCGUGGUCAUGUUAACUUCAUCCGUUGUUCAAACUGUGGAAAGUGUUGCCCUAAGGAUAAGGCAAUCAAGAGAUUUUUGGUGAGGAACAGGAACAUCGU